rnacentral:rRNA from 1 species
GACGAACGCUGGCGGCGUGCUUAACACAUGCAAGUCUACGAGAAAAGGGUAGCAAUACCCUGAUUAAAGUGGCGCACGGGUGAGUAACACGUAAGCAAUCUACCUUUAGAUCUGGAAUAACCCCGAGAAAUCGGGGCUAAUACCGGAUGAUGCAGCGGCACCGCAUGGUGAUGUUGUUAAAGUUCUUGAAAUGUCUAAAGAUGAGCUUGCGUCUGAUUAGCUGGUUGGUGAGGUAACGGCCCACCAAGGCUACGAUCAGUAACUGGUCUGAGAGGAUGAUCAGUCACACUGGAACUGAGACACGGUCCAGACUCCUACGGGAGGCAGCAGUGAGGAAUAUUGGGCAAUGCCCGCAAGGGUGACCCAGCAACGCCGCGUGGAGGAUGAAUGCCGUAAGGUUGUAAACUCCUGUUAGAGGGGACGAAUGAUUCCGGUAGUACCGGAAUUUGACUGUACCCUCAGAGAAAGCCCCGGCUAACUACGUGCCAGCAGCCGCGGUA